rnacentral:rRNA from 1 species
UACGAAGGGGGCUAGCGUUGUUCGGAAUUACUGGGCGUAAAGCGCACGUAGGCGGAUUGUUAAGUUAGGGGUGAAAUCCCAGGGCUCAACCCUGGAACUGCCUUAAGUACUGGGCAAUCUCGAGUCCGAGAGAGGUGAGUGGAAUUCCGAGUGUAGAGGUGAAAUUCGUAGAUAUUGGGAAGAACACCGGUGGCGAAGGCGGCUCACUGGCUCAUUUCUGACGCUCAGGCGCGACAGCGUGGGGAUCAAACAGG